rnacentral:lncRNA from 1 species
AUCGAUCCAAAGAAGAAGGAACGAGAUAGUGUUUCAAUUCCGUCUUGCUAUUAAUAUCUUCUCCUCCGUAGCAACAGAACUGAGGUAUCCAGGUUGCUCCAUCUACAAUAGAGCGCAUAUAAGACGUAGAACAAUGGGUAGGAGAGAGAGGCCAUUGGCUAACAUUAGCUCUCUUCUUUCUGUAUGUUAGGUAAUGGCACGCGGUUAGUUGUUUCUUAGUGAAGCUCCACUUGAGGAAGCAAAAAUUAGUUUUCGGGAAAACAGAAAUAUGAAGAGAAAGCUUGUCCUGAUUGAUCUUUAAAUAGAAUGGGGAAGUCUCGAUGCAGUGAACCACGUGAAUCCCUUUGACAAGAUAAUUCAAGUUCAUUGUCUAACUUUGAAAAAUAGCAAUGAUAUGGUCAGGAAGAUAUUGAUGUAUUUGAAGAGGAUUUAAAGGGAACUGGAAGGCAGAACAGCUGAUUCUUGUGUUACCUUGUGGUUUUCUAAUGACAAUAUUUUAUAUCAUCUGAAAAUCUUAAUUUGAGCAUUAAUUUGGAGAGAUGGACACUGUGUUACCUCACCCAAGUCAAAUAAUUCAUGAGUUCUUUGUUCCUGUGAAUCUGGCGACUCAGAAGAGCACUCCCAAUCACUGGAAAGGCAAAACAUAUGUCGGGCACAGUGGCUCAUGCUUGUAA